AUGAACGCUGGCGGCAUGCCUAAUACAUGCAAGUCGAACGAAGUUUCGAGGAAGCUUGCUUCCAAAGAGACUUAGUGGCGAACGGGUGAGUAACACGUAGGUAACCUGCCCAUGUGUCCGGGAUAACUGCUGGAAACGGUAGCUAAAACCGGAUAGGUAUACAGAGCGCAUGCUCAGUAUAUUAAAGCGCCCUUCAAGGCGUGAACAUGGAUGGACCUGCGGCGCAUUAGCUAGUUGGUGAGGUAACGGCCCACCAAGGCAAUGAUGCGUAGCCGGCCUGAGAGGGUAAACGGCCACAUUGGGACUGAGACACGGCCCAAACUCCUACGGGAGGCAGCAGUAGGGAAUUUUCGUCAAUGGGGGAAACCCUGAACGAGCAAUGCCGCGUGAGUGAAGAAGGUCUUCGGAUCGUAAAGCUCUGUUGUAAGUGAAGAACGGCUCAUAGAGGAAAUGCUAUGGGAGUGACGGUAGCUUACCAGAAAGCCACGGCUAACUACGUGCC
rnacentral:rRNA from 1 species